UUUUUCUCGUGUCGCAAACAAAUGCAAAUGCCGCUCAAAGUUGUUUAUAUUUGUUCAAUAUUCUUUGUUUUUAAUUUUUUAUGGACCAAAUUCAACCCCAAAAUGAUGUGAAGAUUAUAUUAAUGGAGCAUGGAAAUUCCCAAUUUUCACACAAGCCUCAUCUGAAUAUUUUGUAUUACCACAGCUUUAGCUGUUCAGCUACAGACAUAAACUUUUCAGCCCAAUAUAUGGGAUGAAUGCAAAAGGUUCUCUCUUGACUCUCAUUAAUUGAUACUUUUUUCAAGCAGUUCAUGAUAAAGAUAAUAUAGUAUUAAUCCGUUGGCUGCUACCAUGAAUUUUCCUCUUUGACUUUCUUAGAACGGGUCCGCUCUUGAUUUGAGGUUAAUCCUGCGCCGCUUUUCAAUUACUGAAUUCAUUGGUGGAACCUGACGACAAAUCUGCAACCACUGACUGACGUGCUGUCAUUCAGCAAUACCGCCACUUGCAGAAAAUGACGAUUUACCACAGUCGUUAUGAAGUGCAUCAAUUUCCCAACGUACUCAACAUCACAAAGAUGUAAUGCUCUCUAUCAAUCCUACUAUAUACACUCGCCAGAAAUGUUCAGUUGGUUUGUUUCUUUUCCCUAUCCAGAAUCCCAUCAUCAGAUUGAAGAAGGGAUACUUUCUAGAGAUUCAUUUUUUGCUUUGCGUCGAUCGCACUCACGUCUGGUAGGCCUACGAAUGGUUUGUGACGAAACCUCUUUCCAGUGCCGAUCAGUGUUCACAAACUGUUGGAUCGAUCGCACAAAAUGUAACUAAAGGACAAAUGCAAUCACACUACCCGACCAUGAAAGAAAGUAAUACAAACAUGUCACUAUACCCGACCUUCCAUCAAAUAAACUGCUGCUGCAGUUUAGAAAAUCUGAAAACCUGGAGCCUUGGAUUACCGUAAGAUGAAAUAGGCCUGCCAAGCCCCGUCAAUUUGAACGUAUGGAAGUUUUGGCCACGACUGAAUUUGAAAAGGCUCUUUGUCAACAAGAAAAAACCAUCUGAUCCAAAAAAAAUUUAGGCAAGUUGUUCCCACAAUAUAGUAGACAAAAGAACGUAAAGAACUAAUAGUU
rnacentral:lncRNA from 1 species